rnacentral:rRNA from 1 species
UGGGGAAUAUUGCACAAUGGGGGAAACCCUGAUGCCGCGACGCCGCGUGAGCGAAGAAGUAUCCCGGUAUGUAAAGCUCUAUCAGCAGGGAAGAAGAAUGACGGUACCUGAGUAAGAAGCACCGGCUAAAUACGUGCAAGCAGCCGCGGUAAUACGUAUGGUGCAAGCGUUAUCCGGAUUUACUGGGUGUAAAGGGAGCGCAGGCGGUGCGGCAAGUCUGAUGUGAAAGCCCGGGGCUCAACCCCGGGACUGCAUUGGAAACUACCGUACUAGAGUGUCGGAGAGGUAAGUGGAAUUCCUAGUGUAGCGGUGAAAUGCGUAGAUAUUAGGAGGAACACCAGUGGCGAAGGCGGCUUACUGGACGAUGACUGACGCUGAGGCUCGAAAGCGUGGGGAGCAAACAGG